AGUCAAUCGGGUGCGACCCGAAACCAGGCGAUCUACGCGCGAGCAAGGUGAAGCGUGGCGAAAGCCACGUGGAGGCCUGUUAGAGUUGGUGUUCUACAAUACCCUCUCGUGACUCGUGUGUAGGGGUGAAAGGCCCAUCGAGCCUGGCAACAGCUGGUUCCAACCGAAACAUGUCGAAGCAUGACCUCUUCCGAGGUAGCCCGCGGGGUAGAGCUACCGAUUGGAUGACCCGCCUCCGAGAGGAGUCGGCCAUCCUGUCGAACUCCAAACCCGCAGGCGCUGUAGACGAAGGGAGUCCGGUGCGCGGGGUAAGCCUGUGUACCGUGAGGGGAACAACCCAGAGCCGGGUUAAGGUCCCAAAGUGUAGAUUAAGUGCGAUUCGAAGGUGGUCUCAAGCCCUAAACAGCCGGGAGGUGAGCUUAGAAGCAGCUACCCGCUAAGAAAAGCGUAACAGCUUACCGGCCGAGGUUUGAGGCGCCCAAAAUGAUCGGGGCUCAAAUCUACCACCGAGACCUGGCCGUAUCCGUAAAAGGAUAACCGCGUAGGUUGGCGUACUGGUCGGACGGAAGCCCGGGCGAGAGCUCGUGUGGACCGUCCAGUAACGACAAUCCUGGUCACAGUAGCAGCGAUAGUCGGGUGAGAACCUCGACGGCCUGAAGAGCAAGGGUUCCUCGGCACUGCCGUUCAGCCGAGGGUUAGCCGGUCCUAAGGUGUACCACAACUUGACUACACCGACGGGAAGCUGGUUAAUAUUCCAGCGCCAUCGUGCAGUAAACGCCGACGCCGUGUGGAACGCUGAGCCGGGCACUCGCCCGGUCGAAUCGUGGAAACUCGUGGACGCCGUCACGGCACGAAGCGAGCGAAACGCGAGAUAGCGAAAGUCAGCCGUACAUAGGGCCCGUGAAAAGGCAAGCAUGAUGUCCGUACCGAGAUCCGACACAGGUGCUCUGCCAGCGCAAGGCAAGGCCUGUCGGGAGAACCGACGUUAGGGAAUUCGGCAAGUUAGUCCCGUACCUUCGGAAGAAGGGAUGCCUGCUCUCGACGGAGCAGGUCGCAGUGACUCGGGCGCUCCGACUGUCUAGUAACAACACAGGUGACCGCAAAUCCGCAAGGACUCGUACGGUCACUGAAUCCUGCCCAGUGCGGGUAUCUGAACACCUCGUACAAGAGGACGAAGGACCCGUCAACGGCGGGGGUAACUAUGACCCUCUUAAGGUAGCGUAGUACCUUGCCGCUUCAGUAGCGGCUUGCAUGAAUGGAUAAACGAGAGCGCCACUGUCCCAACGUUGGACCCGGUGAACUGUACGUUCCAGUGCGGAGUCUGGAGACCCCCAAGGGGAAGCGAAGACCCUAUAGAGCUUUACUGCAGGCUGUCGCUGAGACGUGGUCGCCGAUGUGCAGCAUAGGUAGGAGUCAUUACAGAGGUACGUGCGCUAGCACGCCACCCAGACAGCAUUGAAAUACUACCCGUCGGUGACUGCGACUCUCACUCCGGGAGGAGUACACCGGUAGCCGGGCAGUUUGACUGGGGCGGUACGCGCUCGAAAAGAUAUCGAGCGCGCCCGAAGAUCAUCUCAGCCGGGUCGGGAAUCCGGCGAAGAGCGCAAGAGCAAAAGAUGGUCUGACAGUGUUCUUCCCAACGAGGAACGCUGACGCGAAAGCGUGGUCUAGCGAACCUACGAGGUUCCGGAAUGGGACCCGUAGAUGACAGAAAAGCUACCUUAGGGAUAACAGAGUCGUCACUCGCAAGAGCACAUAUCGACCGAGUGGCUUGCUACCUCGAUGUCGGUUCCCUCCAUCCUGCCCGUGCAGACGCGGGCAAGGGUGAGGUUGUUCGCCUAUUAAAGGAGGUCGUGAGCUGGGUUUAGACCGUCGUGAGACAGGUCGGCUGCUAUCUAUUGGGGGUGUGAGGUACCUGACGUGAACGAACGUAUAGUACGAGAGGAACUA
rnacentral:rRNA from 1 species